rnacentral:rRNA from 1 species
ACUGGAGGACCGAACCGACUAAUGUUGAAAAAUUAGCGGAUGACCUGUGGCUGGGGGUGAAAGGCCAAUCAAACCGGGAGAUAGCUGGUUCUCCCCGAAAGCUAUUUAGGUAGCGCCUCGUGAAUUCAUCUCCGGGGGUAGAGCACUGUUUCGGCUAGGGGGCCAUCCCGGCUUACCAACCCGAUGCAAACUGCGAAUACCGGAGAAUGUUAUCACGGGAGACACACGGCGGGUGCUAACGUCCGUCGUGAAGAGGGAAACAACCCAGACCGCCAGCUAAGGUCCCAAAGUCAUGGUUAAGUGGGAAACGAUGUGGGAAGGCCCAGACAGCCAGGAUGUUGGCUUAGAAGCAGCCAUCAUUUAAAGAAAGCGUAAUAGCUCACUGGUCGAGUCGGCCUGCGCGGAAGAUGUAACGGGGCUAAACCAUGCACCGAAGCUGCGGCAGCGACACUGUGUGUUGUUGGGUAGGGGAGCGUUCUGUAAGCCUGUGAAGGUGUGUCGUGAGGCAUGCUGGAGGUAUCAGAAGUGCGAAUGCUGACAUAAGUAACGAUAAAGCGGGUGAAAAGCCCGCUCGCCGGAAGACCAAGGGUUCCUGUCCAACGUUAAUCGGGGCAGGGUGAGUCGACCCCUAAGGCGAGGCCGAAAGGCGUAGUCGAUGGGAAACGGGUUAAUAUUCCCGUACUUGGUGUUACUGCGAAGGGGGGACGGAGAAGGCUAUGUUGGCCGGGCGACGGUUGUCCCGGUUUAAGCGUGUAGGUGUGUGUUCCAGGUAAAUCCGGUUCACUUUAACACUGAGGCGUGACGACGAGGCACUACGGUGCUGAAGCAACAAAUGCCCUGCUUCCAGGAAAAGCCUCUAAGCAUCAGGUAACAUCAAAUCGUACCCCAAACCGACACAGGUGGUCAGGUAGAGAAUACCAAGGCGCUUGAGAGAACUCGGGUGAAGGAACUAGGCAAAAUGGUGCCGUAACUUCGGGAGAAGGCACGCUGACACGUAGGUGAAGUGAUUUACUCAUGGAGCUGAAGUCAGUCGAAGAUACCAGCUGGCUGCAACUGUUUAUUAAAAACACAGCACUGUGCAAACACGAAAGUGGACGUAUACGGUGUGACGCCUGCCCGGUGCCGGAAGGUUAAUUGAUGGGGUCAGCGCAAGCGAAGCUCCUGAUCGAAGCCCCGGUAAACGGCGGCCGUAACUAUAACGGUCCUAAGGUAGCGAAAUUCCUUGUCGGGUAAGUUCCGACCUGCACGAAUGGCGUAAUGAUGGCCAGGCUGUCUCCACCCGAGACUCAGUGAAAUUGAACUCGCUGUGAAGAUGCAGUGUACCCGCGGCAAGACGGAAAGACCCCGUGAACCUUUACUAUAGCUUGACACUGAACAUUGAGCCUUGAUGUGUAGGAUAGGUGGGAGGCUUUGAAGUGUGGACGCCAGUCUGCAUGGAGCCGACCUUGAAAUACCACCCUUUAAUGUUUGAUGUUCUAACGUGGACCCGUUACCCGGGUUGCGGACAGUGUCUGGUGGGUAGUUUGACUGGGGCGGUCUCCUCCUAAAGAGUAACGGAGGAGCACGAAGGUUGGCUAAUCCUGGUCGGACAUCAGGAGGUUAGUGCAAUGGCAUAAGCCAGCUUGACUGCGAGCGUGACGGCGCGAGCAGGUGCGAAAGCAGGUCAUAGUGAUCCGGUGGUUCUGAAUGGAAGGGCCAUCGCUCAACGGAUAAAAGGUACUCCGGGGAUAACAGGCUGAUACCGCCCAAGAGUUCAUAUCGACGGCGGUGUUUGGCACCUCGAUGUCGGCUCAUCACAUCCUGGGGCUGAAGUAGGUCCCAAGGGUAUGGCUGUUCGCCAUUUAAAGUGGUACGCGAGCUGGGUUUAGAACGUCGUGAGACAGUUCGGUCCCUAUCUGCCGUGGGCGCUGGAGAACUGAGGGGGGCUGCUCCUAGUACGAGAGGACCGGAGUGGACGCAUCACUGGUGUUCGGGUUGUCAUGCCAAUGGCACUGCCCGGUAGCUAAAUGCGGAAGAGAUAAGUGCUGAAAGCAUCUAAGCACGAAACUUGCCCCGAGAUGAGUUCUCCCUGAGACUUAAAGUCUCCUGAAGGAACGUUGAAGACGACGACGUUGAUAGGCCG